GAAUAAAGUACAUUUAGGGACAAAUCAAAUUAUUUUUGUGCAGGUAAUACUUUGUUAUACCAUUAAAUAGGUCAGUGGUCUGUGACAAUAUGCCUUUAAACUUCAACGUAAAAGUUGAUGCAAAGUAAUUGCUAUAUCUCUAUAUCUCGUCUGUUUUGCUUUGUAAAACCAAGAUAAAAAGGUAUGAAUUAUAAAGCAUUAUAUUAAUAAAUACAAUCAAGUUGCAGUUUCACUUAUUCCAAUUUUUGGGCAAUUAUUAUAUAAAGAAAUUCAUUUUCUAAGCAAGAAAAUGUAAGUACUGUGGUCUCAGGACAGAUGAAAUGCACCAGAAUAUACACACAGUAUUGGAUGAGACAGAUUUUACCUCAGCUAUAUUGUCAUGGAACGUGAUUUUGAGAUCAUGCCAGGGUGGAAUCUAGCUCAAUGGGUAGCAUGCUCACCUGCUUGUGGAUAAAGUAGUACAGUACAGGCUGUCUAAACUUGAGUCAUUGGGGGGGGGGGGAGGGGGGCUACUCACAAACUGAACCAA